rnacentral:rRNA from 1 species
AACGGGGUCUAAUACCGGAUACUGACCCGCUUGGGCAUCCAAGCGGUUCGAAAGCUCCGGCGGUGCAGGAUGAGCCCGCGGCCUAUCAGCUUGUUGGUGAGGUAAUGGCUCACCAAGGCGACGACGGGUAGCCGGCCUGAGAGGGCGACCGGCCACACUGGGACUGAGACACGGCCCAGACUCCUACGGGAGGCAGCAGUGGGGAAUAUUGCACAAUGGGCGAAAGCCUGAUGCAGCGACGCCGCGUGAGGGAUGACGGCCUUCGGGUUGUAAACCUCUUUCAGCAGGGAAGAAGCGAAAGUGACGGUACCUGCAGAAGAAGCGCCGGCUAACUACGUGCCAGCAGCCGCGGUAAUACGUAGGGCGCGAGCGUUGUCCGGAAUUAUUGGGCGUAAAGAGCUCGUAGGCGGCUUGUCACGUCGGUUGUGAAAGCCCGGGGCUUAACCCCGGGUCUGCAGUCGAUACGGGCAGGCUAGAGUUCGGUAGGGGAGAUCGGAAUUCCUGGUGUAGCGGUGAAAUGCGCAGAUAUCAGGAGGAACACCGGUGGCGAAGGCGGAUCUCUGGGCCGAUACUGACGCUGAGGAGCGAAAGCGUGGGGAGCGAACAGGAUUAGAUACCCUGGUAGUCCACGCCGUAAACGGUGGGCACUAGGUGUGGGCGACAUUCCACGUCGUCCGUGCCGCAGCUAACGCAUUAAGUGCCCCGCCUGGGAGUACGGCCGCAAGGCUAAAACUCAAAGG